GUUCCUUCGGAAACAUCCGAUGAAAUUGGAACGAUAUGGAGAAGAUUAGCAUGGAGCAAGGAUGACAAGCACGAAUCAGGAAAUGGUUUAAAACUCU
rnacentral:snRNA from 1 species